rnacentral:rRNA from 1 species
GACAAACGCUGGCGGCGUGCCUAAGACAUGCAAGUCGGACGCGGGCUUCGGCUCGAGUGGCGGACGGGUGAGGAACGCGUGACUAACCUGCCCUGCGGUGGGGGAGUACCGCUCAGAAAUAGGGCGGCUAAGACCGCAUACGACCAGCGUCUUGGGGGUAGUGCUGGGGAAAGGACCGAAAGGACGCCGGAGGGAGGGGGUCGGCGGUCGGAUUAGCUAGUUGGUGGGGUAAGGGCCGUACCAAGGCGGUGAUCCGUAGCNGGUCUGGAGAGGACGGCCAGCCACACUGGGACUGAGACACGGCCCAGACU